rnacentral:rRNA from 1 species
UACGAAGGGGGCUAGCGUUGCUCGGAAUCACUGGGCGUAAAGGGCGCGUAGGCGGCCAAGUAAGUUGGGGGUGAAAGCCCGUGGCUCAACCACGGAAUUGCCUUCGAUACUGCUUGGCUUGAGACCGGAAGAGGUGAGUGGAACUGCGAGUGUAGAGGUGAAAUUCGUAGAUAUUCGCAAGAACACCAGUGGCGAAGGCGGCUCACUGGUCCGGAUCUGACGCUGAGGUGCGAAAGCGUGGGGAGCAAACAGG